rnacentral:rRNA from 1 species
UGGAAAAUAAAAAAAUGUAACAAGGUCUCCGUUGGUGAACCAGCGGAGGGAUCAUUA